rnacentral:rRNA from 1 species
GAUGAACGCUGGCGGCGUGCCUAAUACAUGCAAGUCGAGCGAACAGACGAGGAGCUUGCUCCUCUGACUUUAGCGGCGGACGGGGGAGUAACACGUGGAUAACCUACCUAUAAGACUGGGAUAACUUCGGGAAACCGGAGCUAAUACCGGAUAAUAUAUUGAACCGCAUGGUUCAAUAGUGAAAGACGGUUUUGCUGUCACUUAUAGAUGGAUCCGCGCCGCAUUAGCUAGUUGGUAAGGUAACGGCUUACCAAGGCAACGAUGCGUAGCCGACCUGAGAGGGUGAUCGGCCACACUGGAACUGAGACACGGUCCAGACUCCUACGGGAGGCAGCAGUAGGGAAUCUUCCGCAAUGGGCGAAAGCCUGACGGAGCAACGCCGCGUGAAUGAUGAAGGUCUUCGGAUCGUAAAACUCUGUUAUUAGGGAAGAACAAAUGUGUAAGUAACUAUGCACGUCUUGACGGUACCUAAUCAGAAAGCCACGGCUAACUACGUG